CCUACGGGUGGCAGCAGUGAGGAAUAUUGGUCAAUGGGCUUACGCCUGAACCAGCCAAGUCGCGUGAGGGAAGACUGCCCUAUGGGUUGUAAACCUCUUUUGUCAGGGAGCAACGCCGGCUCCGUGUCGCCGGACUGAGUGUACCUGAAGAAAGAGCAUCGGCUAACUCCGUCCCAGCAGACGCGGUAAGACGGAGGAUGCGAGCGUGAUCCGGAUUUAUUGGGUUUAAAGGGGGCAGAGGCGGAAGGCCAGGUCCGCGGGAAACUCGCGGGGCUCAACCUCGCUCCGCCGUUGAAACUGGCGUGCUUGAGUGGGCGAGAGGUAUGCGGAAUGCGUGGUGUAGCGGUGAAAUGCAUAGAUAUCACGCAGAACUCCGAUUGCGAAGGCAGCAUACCGGAGCCCAACUGACGCUGAGGCACGAAAGCGUGGGUAUCGAACAGGAUUAGAUACCCGGGUAGUC
rnacentral:rRNA from 1 species